CGGUGAAUACGUUCCCCGGGCCUUGUAACACACCGCCCGUCAAGCCAUGGAAGCUGGGGGUGCCUGAAGUGCGUAACCGCAAGGAGCGUCCUAGGGUAAAACCCGGUAACUCGGGCUA
rnacentral:rRNA from 1 species